rfam:Nomascus leucogenys chromosome 9, whole genome shotgun sequence.
CCAAAGGAUUUUUUAAAAACCAAACAUGGAUAACUAAAAAUAAAAU